rnacentral:rRNA from 1 species
UACGUAGGGGGCGAGCGUUGUCCGGAAUUACUGGGCGUAAAGCGCAUGUAGGCGGGCGACUAAGUCAGGGGUGAAAACCGUGGGCUCAACCUAGGAAUUGCGCUUGUGACUGGCGGGCUCGAGUACGGUAGAGGGGGGUGGAAUUCCUGGUGUAGCAGUGAAAUGCGUAGAGAUCAGGAGGAACACCGAUGGCGAAGGCAGCCCCCUGGGCCUGUACUGACGCUCAUGCACGAAAGCGUGGGGAGCAAACAGG